ensembl:lncRNA
GUUUGCUUCUCAUGGAAAACCUUUUGCGUCCUGGAGCUCUGUGAACCCAAUUCUUCCCAGACUAUACGAUGAGAAGAGUCUCAGAAGAGAACUAUGGAAGUUCACCUUGGGCAGCUUUUCUGGAGGGCAAAAAUCUUGCUUGGCCUUCGUAUGAGAGUCAAGACAUAAAUUGGACCAUAAAUUGGCCUCUGUCAGAAUCUACAUCAGAAUGACACCAAAUACAUGUCAUCAGGCUUGUGUUCCAGCUCGCAGCAGGGAUCCACCGGUGCUUGUCAUCUUGAUCAAAUGUUCACCUCACUCCCUUUUCCUGCUCGUGCCUCUACUUUGAAGAAAAUACGCCUCCACCUAUUAUUUCCAAAGGGAGUCACUCUUCACUGAAGCC